UACGUAGGUGGCGAGCGUUGUCCGGAAUUACUGGGUGUAAAGGGCGUGUAGGCGGGUAUUUAAGUCAGAUGUGAAAUGCCGGGGCUCAACCCCGGAGCUGCAUUUGAAACUGAAUAUCUUGAGUGUCGGAGAGGAAAGCGGAAUUCCUAGUGUAGCGGUGAAAUGCGUAGAUAUUAGGAGGAACACCAGUGGCGAAGGCGGCUUUCUGGACGAUAACUGACGCUGAGGCGCGAAAGCGUGGGGAGCAAAC
rnacentral:rRNA from 1 species